UACGGGGGGGGCAAGCGUUGUUCGGAAUUACUGGGCGUAAAGGGUGCGUAGGCGGCUUUCUAAGUUGGAUGUGAAAACUCUGGGCUCAACCCAGAGCCUGCAUCCAAAACUGGAGAGCUAGGGUUCUGGAGGGGAAAGCGGAAUUCCUGGUGUAGCGGUGAAACGCGUAGAUAUCAGGAGGAACACCGGUGGCGAAGGCGGCUUUCUGGACAGAUACCGACGCUGAGGCACGAAAGCUAGGGGAGCAAACAGG
rnacentral:rRNA from 1 species